GUAAUACUGGGAUAACUCCGGGAAACCGGGGCUAAUACCGGAUAACACCUACCCCCGCAUGGGGGAAGGUUGAAAGGUGGCUUCGGCUAUCACUUACAGAUGGACCCGCGGCGCAUUAGCUAGUUGGUGAGGUAACGGCUCACCAAGGCGACGAUGCGUAGCCGACCUGAGAGGGUGAUCGGCCACACUGGGACUGAGACACGGCCCAGACUCCUACGGGAGGCAGCAGUAGGGAAUCUUCCGCAAUGGACGAAAGUCUGACGGAGCAACGCCGCGUGAGUGAAGAAGGUUUUCGGAUCGUAAAACUCUGUUGUUAGGGAAGAACAAGUGCCGUUCGAAUAGGGCGGCGCCUUGACGGUACCUAACCAGAAAGCCACGGCUAACUACGUGCCAGCAGCCGCGGUAAUACGUAGGUGGCAAGCGUUGUCCGGAAUUAUUGGGCGUAAAGCGCGCGCAGGUGGUUUCUUAAGUCUGAUGUGAAAGCCCACGGCUCAACCGUGGAGGGUCAUUGGAAACUGGGGAACUUGAGUGCAGAAGAGGAAAGUGGAAUUCCAAGUGUAGCGGUGAAAUGCGUAGAUAUUUGGAGGAACACCAGUGGCGAAGGCGACUUUCUGGUCUGUAACUGACACUGAGG
rnacentral:rRNA from 2 species